rnacentral:lncRNA from 1 species
CUGAAACUAAGAGUACCAGACCAUGAUUAAGAAGCAUCAUCCCAGUCUGGUUUCAUUAAGAUUACAGCAUGUGCUAGCAGACAACUUCUUGACCUCUUCUGGAGCACUUGAUCAGAAUGACUGA